rnacentral:rRNA from 1 species
CCUACGGGUGGCAGCAGUGAGGAAUAUUGGUCAAUGGGCGCGAGCCUGAACCAGCCAAGUAGCGUGAAGGAUGACUGCCCUACGGGUUGUAAACUUCUUUUAUAAAGGAAUAAAGUGAGGCACGUGUGCCUUUUUGUAUGUACUUUAUGAAUAAGGAUCGGCUAACUCCGUGCCAGCAGCCGCGGUAAUACGGAGGAUGCGAGCGUUAUCCGGAUUUAUUGGGUUUAAAGGGUGCGUAGGCGGAUUUUUAAGUCAGCGGUAAAAUGUCCGGGCUCAACCCGGGCCGGCCGUUGAAACUGGGGAUCUUGAGUGGGCGAGAAGUAUGCGGAAUGCGUGGUGUAGCGGUGAAAUGCAUAGAUAUCACGCAGAACUCCGAUUGCGAAGGCAGCAUACCGGCGCCCGACUGACGCUGAGGCACGAAAGCGUGGGGAUCGAACAGGAUUAGAUACCCCUGUAGUC